rnacentral:rRNA from 1 species
UACGUAGGGUGCAAGCGUUAAUCGGAAUUACUGGGCGUAAAGCGUGCGCAGGCGGUUCGCUAAGACAGAUGUGAAAUCCCCGGGCUUAACCUGGGAACUGCAUUUGUGACUGGCGGGCUAGAGUAUGGCAGAGGGGGGUAGGAAUUCCACGGUGUAGCAGUGAAAUGCGUAGAGAUGUGGAGGAAUACCGAUGGCGAAGGCAGCCCCUGGGCCAAUACUGACGCUCAUGCACGAAAGCGUGGGGAGCAAACAGG